UAUUUUGCGCUGUUGAAAGUUAACGAACGAAGUUAACUACGACAAACCGGAAAACGCCCGUAACAAAAUCCUCUUUGAGAACUUAACCCCGCUGCAC
rnacentral:rRNA from 1 species